CACGUAGUUAGCCGUGACUUUCUGGUUAGGUACCGUCAAAGUCAAGACAGUUACUCCUUGACUUGUUCUUCUCUAAUAACAGAACUUUACGAUCCGAAGACCUUCUUCAUUCACGCGGCAUUGCUCCAUCAGGCUUUCGCCCAUUGUAGAAGAUUCCCUACUGCUGCCUCCCGUAGGAGUCUGGGCCGUGUCUCAGUCCCAGUGUGGCCGAUCACCCUCUCAGGUCGGCUACGUAUCACAGCUUUGGUGAGCCAUUACCUCACCAACUAGCUAAUACGGCGCGGGGCCAUCCAUGAGUGACAGCAAAGCCGUCUUUCGUCUCUGGACCAGGCGGUCCAAAGCAUUAUGCGGUAUUAGCAUCCGUUCCGAAUGUUAUCCCCCUCUCAUGGCAGGUUCCCACGUGUUACUCACCCGUUCGCUACUCUUCAUUCCUGCAAGCAGAGAAUAUCAUCGUUACAACUUGCUAUGUAUUAGGCAUGCCGUCC
rnacentral:rRNA from 1 species